AAUAUUUUACAUUACAGAUUAUAUUCCCGUGGUGUUUCUAAAAACAAUAUAUUAUUCUUAUUCUUCUGAUUAUUUUCAUUUUUAAAAGAUUAAUUGUUAACAAUAUUAUUGUCCAUUCAGUUUGCAAGCGAAACACUUCGAUGUCAUACGGGUGGCGUGCUCAUCAGGGAAGAUAUAAAAUGGCGUUUUUGGUCGUCCGCUUGUGCUUUGUUCAGUUAUACAUAAUAAACCAUGUGUAUAAAGUAUAAGGUACUUUUAAUGACACCAAUAUUAUUAUAUUAAAUAACCAGUACUGAAUUUUUAAUUAUAACAUAACAGAAAGGAAGAAGCUCUCGACUAAUUGUAAGUUUCUUGGGACAAAGGAGAAAUUAAACUGGCAUGAAUUUUUACGAAGAAAGGAAAUGAAAAUAAUCAGAAACGUAAAUAUAAAAGCAUUUAACCGAGAAACUAAAAAGCUUCCUACCAUGUUGAAAGUUCCUUAGUACAAAUGAAAAACUAAACUGCCAUAUCAUUUUAUGAGGAAAUUACAUGGAAUGUAUCAGAAAUGUAAAUAUAUAAGCAUUUAACCAAGAAACUAAAAAGCUUCCUACCAAGUUGGAAGUUCCUUAGUACAAAUGAAAAACUAAACUAGCAUACUAUUUUAUUAGGAAAUGAUAUAAAAUGAGUCAGAAAUGUAAAUAUAUAAGCAUUUAACCAAGAAAAAACUGUCCACCAAGUUUUAAACUGUCAUGUUAUUUUAUGAGAAAAGGAAAUGAAAUGAAUCAGAAAAGUAAAUAUAAAAGCAUUUAACCAAGAAACUAAAAAGCUUCCCACCAAGUUGUAACUUCCUUAGGACAAAUAAAAAAUUGAACUGGCAUGUUAUUUUAUGAAGAUAGGAAAUGAAAUGAAUCACAAAUAUAAGUUAUAAGGUAUUAGGAUCAUUUACUCGGAAACUACUCAUCGAUUUUACUUUCUUCAGCCACUCGAACCAAUUGAUUAUGUCAAUGUACUUGCACAGCAAAAUAAUUGGGAGAUCUCGGGUUCGAACUCUUAGAACAUUAAUAAAGUCUAUUUUAAUUUGGA